UACGGAGGGGGCGAGCGUUGUUCGGAGUUACUGGGCGUAAAGCGCACGUAGGCGGUGCGGUAAGUCAGGGGUUAAAGGCUGCAGCUCAACUGCAGUAAGGCCUUAGAUACUAUAGAACUGGAGUGCCAGAGAGGAUGGCGGAAUUCCCGGUGUAGCGGUGAAAUGCGUAGAUAUCGGGAGGAAGGUCGGUGGCGAAGGCGGCCUCCUGGGCCUGUACUGACGCUCAUGCACGAAAGCGUGGGGAGCAAACAGG
rnacentral:rRNA from 1 species